AUGGGGGGUGCGUCCCCCUCCUGUGAUGGGCGUCCUAAGAGCCAGGGGGGGAAGAGGGACUGGCUCUCAGUCCCUGCCUCGCGGGGGGUGCCUCCCCCCCUGCGAUGGGGGUACUAACAGCCAGGGGCGGAAGAGGGGAUAGCUCUCAGUCGCCACUCUCGUGGGGGGUGCCUCCCCCUCCUGCGAUGGGGGUCCUCAGAGCCAGGGGGGGGAAGAGGGACUGGCUCUCAGUAAUCCCACGUAAGGUACCUGCCGUCGGAAGAUUUGAACUUUCUACUUGGACACCUAACACCCGCAGUCCUCCAGCUGCGUUCGGACCCGUCGGAUCGUAAAUCCCAUGUAAGGUACCUGCCGUCGGAAGAUUUGAUCUUUCUACUUGGACACCUAAUACCCACAGUCCUCCAGCUCCGGUAGAUUGCAAAUAACCUGCUUUCUUUCUGUUCCUGAGCUGCGUUCGGACCCCUGUCGUAUUGUAAAUCCCACGCAAGGUACCUGCCGUCGGAAGAUUUGAGCUUUCUUCUUGAACACCUCAUACCCACAGUCCUCCAGACAGAAGGACAACAGGUACAAAGUCCUAAGGAUUAUAAAGGUAUGCUGCUUGCCAUCAUCUUAGUGACCAAGGCAGCGAAGCUGUUUCUGUACCUUGGAACAGUCUUCCCUGACAAGCCAGAGAACAGCGAUAAAGCCACCAGCCUUGGGAUCAGGACUGAAAAGGCAAGAGUGAUGGAGAUUUCUCCUGCGCUAAGCCAAGAGAAGGUUUCAGCACCUCAGACAGCUCCCACCGAAGUAGCGGCGCUCCCAGCUGCUUGCAGAUGUGGAAAAGGAAAGCCUCGGUUUGUCUUGAGGUUGUCAGCAGUUGCAAGACACGUAAUAAAAUGCAAUGUGUUCCUAA
rnacentral:lncRNA from 1 species